rnacentral:lncRNA from 1 species
AGAGGGUGGAGGCAGGAACAUGGUGAGAGGCCAAGUCAGGGUCCUACUUGCUGAUGUGACAACGGGGGGCACAAGUGGAGCCCUCAUGGAUUCACUUGGGCAAUCAGCAACAUAAAAGAUGGGCGGGAAGCAUAGCCACGAUCAACUCACACUGCAGGGAGUCAUGAAUAUCACCUCCGUCUUUGACAUAUGAGGGGAGAAAUGCUCAGACCACAAAAGUGUCCUCCAACCCAGGGUCCAGGAUGGAAGAAUAAAACACUGGGCAAUUGGAUCAAGAUAUUUUGGUAUGAACUGGAUGAGUCCAUCAAGGCAGAGUUAUUUCUCUUCAUAGAAUCUGGUACUAACCUUUCAUUGGUCACACUCACCUGCUGUUCAUCUAGCGAGACCUUGUUAGUCCUAGCCCUGUCUGUCAUUCAUGUAGAUCCUAUUAUUUAAUUCAUCACACUGUAUUUUACCGUGUGCUGCAUGUCUGUCCCUUGUACAGGAUUACUAAUUUCUUGAGAAAAUGUGAAUUGUCUAGGGGUAUAUAGUAGAAACUCGAAACUGUUGUGGGAAGAGAAAAUGUUCCUAGAGAAAAUUUCUGAGAAAAGAUCUCCACAUGGG